GCUGGGUGUGGUGGUGCACACCUGUAGUCCCAGCUACUCAGGAGGCUGAGGCAGGAGAAUUGCUCGAACCUGGGAGGCAGAGGUUGCAGUGAGCCAAGAUUGCGCCGCUGCACUCCAGCCUGGGCAACAGAGCGAGACUCUGUCUCAA
rnacentral:SRP_RNA from 1 species